rnacentral:rRNA from 1 species
GACGAACGCUGGCGGCGUGCUUAACACAUGCAAGUCGAACGGAAAGGCCCUGCUUUUGUGGGGUGCUCGAUUGGCGAACGGGUGAGUAACACGUGAGUAACCUGCCCUUGACUUUGGGAUAACUUCAGGAAACUGGGGCUAAUACCGGAUAGGAUCUCCUGCUGCAUGGUGGGGGUUGGAAAGUUUCGGCGGUUGUGGAUGGACUCGCGGCUUAUCAGCUUGUUGGUGGAGUAGUGGCUUACCAAGGCUUUGACGGGUAGCCGGCCUGAGCGGGUGACCGGCGACAUUGGGACUGAGAUACGCACCAGAAUCCUACGGGAGGCAGUAGUGGGGAAUAUUGCAGAAUGGGGGGAAGCCUGAUGUAGAGGCGCCGCGUGCGGGAUGCCGGCCUUCUAGUUGUAAACAGAUUUCGACUGUGACGAAGAGUGAUUGACGGUAAUGGGUAAAGAAGCAACGGCUAACUACGUG